rnacentral:rRNA from 1 species
GCGGCGAACGGGUGAGUAACACGUGGGUAAUCUGCCCUGUACUCUGGGAUAAGCCUUGGAAACGAGGUCUAAUACCGGAUAUGACUCCGCAUCGCAUGGUGUGGGGUGGAAAGUUCCGGCGGUACGGGAUGAACCCGCGGCCUAUCAGCUUGUUGGUGGGGUAGUGGCCUACCAAGGCGACGACGGGUAGCCGGCCUGAGAGGGUGACCGGCCACACUGGGACUGAGACACGGCCCAGACUCCUACGGGAGGCAGCAGUGGGGAAUAUUGCACAAUGGGCGAAAGCCUGAUGCAGCGACGCCGCGUGAGGGAUGACGGCCUUCGGGUUGUAAACCUCUUUCAGCAGGGACGAAGCGCAAGUGACGGUACCUGCAGAAGAAGCACCGGCUAACUACGUGCCAGCAGCCGCGGUAAUACGUAGGGUGCGAGCGUUGUCCGGAAUUAUUGGGCGUAAAGAGCUCGUAGGCGGUUUGUCGCGUCGGCCGUGAAAACCUGGGGCUUAACCCUGGGCCUGCGGUCGAUACGGGCAGACUUGAGUU